UACGUAGGGGGCAAGCGUUGUCCGGAAUCAUUGGGCGUAAAGAGCGUGUAGGCGGCUUGGUAAGUCCGCUGUGAAAGUCCAGGGCUCAACCCUGGAAAGCCGGUGGAAACUGUCAAGCUUGAGGCCGGAAGAGGCGAGUGGAAUUCCUGGUGUAGCGGUGAAAUGCGCAGAUAUCAGGAGGAACACCAAUGGCGAAGGCAGCUCGCUGGGACGGUACUGACGCUGAGACGCGAAAGCGUGGGGAGCGAACAGG
rnacentral:rRNA from 1 species